rnacentral:lncRNA from 1 species
CCAAGGUUGUGUGCUAUAAAUAGAAGGUACUGGUAAAAAUAUAUGUGAAAACCAGUAUUACUGAAUUCUAGCUAGAUGCUGUGUUACCUGCCAAGGCUGAGACUGAGGGCUGACCUUGCUUUGUUAAAGAGAUUAUCAAGUCUAGAGAAGUAUAAAAGACACAUUAGCAGCAACCAGAGACUGAGUCCUUGGCAUAAUCAGGAUUGAAAGAGAAUUAAAAGGGAAGGUUACUUAAUCCUAUG